rnacentral:rRNA from 1 species
AGAGUUUGAUCCUGGCUCAGAUUGAACGCUGGCGGCAGGCCUAACACAUGCAAGUCGAGCGGUAGCACAGAGAGCUUGCUCUCGGGUGACGAGCGGCGGACGGGUGAGUAAUGUCUGGGAAACUGCCUGAUGGAGGGGGAUAACUACUGGAAACGGUAGCUAAUACCGCAUAACGUCGCAAGACCAAAGUGGGGGACCUUCGGGCCUCAUGCCAUCAGAUGUGCCCAGAUGGGAUUAGCUAGUAGGUGGGGUAACGGCUCACCUAGGCGACGAUCCCUAGCUGGUCUGAGAGGAUGACCAGCCACACUGGAACUGAGACACGGUCCAGACUCCUACGGGAGGCAGCAGUGGGGAAUAUUGCACAAUGGGCGCAAGCCUGAUGCAGCCAUGCCGCGUGUGUGAAGAAGGCCUUCGGGUUGUAAAGCACUUUCAGCGGGGAGGAAGGCGAUAAGGUUAAUAACCUCAUCGAUUGACGUUACCCGCAGAAGAAGCACCGGCUAACUCCGUGCCAGCAGCCGCGGUAAUACGGAGGGUGCAAGCGUUAAUCGGAAUUACUGGGCGUAAAGCGCACGCAGGCGGUCUGUCAAGUCGGAUGUGAAAUCCCCGGGCUCAACCUGGGAACUGCAUUCGAAACUGGCAGGCUAGAGUCUUGUAGAGGGGGGUAGAAUUCCAGGUGUAGCGGUGAAAUGCGUAGAGAUCUGGAGGAAUACCGGUGGCGAAGGCGGCCCCCUGGACAAAGACUGACGCUCAGGUGCGAAAGCGUGGGGAGCAAACAGGAUUAGAUACCCUGGUAGUCCACGCUGUAAACGAUGUCGAUUUGGAGGUUGUGCCCUUGAGGCGUGGCUUCCGGAGCUAACGCGUUAAAUCGACCGCCUGGGGAGUACGGCCGCAAGGUUAAAACUCAAAUGAAUUGACGGGGGCCCGCACAAGCGGUGGAGCAUGUGGUUUAAUUCGAUGCAACGCGAAGAACCUUACCUGGUCUUGACAUCCACAGAACUUUCCAGAGAUGGAUUGGUGCCUUCGGGAACUGUGAGACAGGUGCUGCAUGGCUGUCGUCAGCUCGUGUUGUGAAAUGUUGGGUUAAGUCCCGCAACGAGCGCAACCCUUAUCCUUUGUUGCCAGCGGUUAGGCCGGGAACUCAAAGGAGACUGCCAGUGAUAAACUGGAGGAAGGUGGGGAUGACGUCAAGUCAUCAUGGCCCUUACGACCAGGGCUACACACGUGCUACAAUGGCAUAUACAAAGAGAAGCGACCUCGCGAGAGCAAGCGGACCUCAUAAAGUAUGUCGUAGUCCGGAUUGGAGUCUGCAACUCGACUCCAUGAAGUCGGAAUCGCUAGUAAUCGUAGAUCAGAAUGCUACGGUGAAUACGUUCCCGGGCCUUGUACACACCGCCCGUCACACCAUGGGAGUGGGUUGCAAAAGAAGUAGGUAGCUUAACCUUCGGGAGGGCGCUUACCACUUUGUGAUUCAUGACUGGGGUGAAGUCGUAACAAGGUAACC